UUCUUCUUCUUCUUCUUCUUCUUCUUCUUCUUCUCUUUAUAAUGCCUUUCCUGGAGAACUGAUUAUAGUUUUAUUCUUGCAUAAUUGAAGGAAACACUUAAUGUGUAUUGCUAUGCAAUUAUAAUAUUGUUUGUACAAGCAAUGAAUGCAGCACAGCUUUGAGCUCAUGUUUCUUGUAACCACUUCAGCAUAUAUAAUUUAAACAUCUGCUCACAUGAGAUUGCAUGCGAAACAUAGAUUUGUGACAUUAGGAUGAUUAUGGAUUUAAGUAGCAAAUUUGCCAUUCGCUCAUUCUUCAAGGAUGUGAGGAGAUCAUACUUGUGAAGGAAAGAAUUGGAAAAAGGUGAUUUAAAAUUGGUCAUGGUGUAUUUUUCUAAAUUUGCUUACUCUUGAAAAUUGAAGAAAGUAUUUUUCAAUUUAAUUUUCUAAGGCAACAGCAUUUUCCUUGGUAAUUUUUGAAAAAAUGGAGACAGUAAUUUUAAAUUUUCUAACCUUUGAAAAUAAAAAUUAAUAAUUUUCAAGGUAAUAGCAUUUCCUUAGGAGUGCACCACCCAAUAACAUGUUGCUGCCCCCUAUUUCUUCUAGAGGAUAUCCCAAUUGUUCUAGAUCAACUGGGGAGGGAUUCUUUAACCAAAUAUAUUACCAUGAAUAUUCUGCAUUCCAAUGAACUAUUUAUUGUAUAUGGCUAACAUGAAGUCCUUUGGUUAAAUAUAUCUUACUUUCGUAGAAAUGAUCUUCAAUAUUUAUCAUUAAUGAUCACAUCUGGGUGCCAUUUUAGAGUUAGUUGAUCUUGUUCAAUAAACAGAGGGGGUGUUUGUUAUGUUAAAAUGGCAUGCCCUUGUUUACAACAUAAUUGUUUAACUUGCUAUUGUGAUUCCUGUUCUUGUUUUGUUGAUGAUUUGUGUUCCAGACAGAAGAGCAUGUUGUUGGACGAGAUGGAGGUAUUUUGGCGAAUGGGCAAGGAAAACCGAAGAAGGGAAGAGGAGGGCCAAGAGAUGCAAAGAGAAUCAGACAAUCAAAUGAUGCAGAUUAUGACUAUGAAGAUGAUCCUGAUUUAAUUAUGUGAGAAUCAGUAUGCCAAUUGACCUUGAAGGACUUUUUUUUUUAUUUUAUUUUAAAUUACUCUCUCUCUCUCUUUCUUUUCGAUCAAUUUCUGUAAAUGCCUUGAGUCUCGUAUUUUGGAAAAUAGACUUCCAUGUGGCUAUAAUGGAUUAAUGUUAUUGAGGCUUGUAUUGCUGUCAUGAAUUACACUUUUUUUUCUU